rnacentral:rRNA from 1 species
UACGUAGGGAGCAAGCGUUGUUCGGAUUUACUGGGCGUAAAGGGCGCGUAGGCGGCGCGGUAAGUCACUUGUGAAAUCUCUGAGCUUAACUCAGAACGGCCAAGUGAUACUGCAGUGCUAGAGUGCAGAAGGGGCAAUCGGAAUUCUUGGUGUAGCGGUGAAAUGCGCAGAUAUCAGGAGGAACACCAGUGGCGAAGGCGCCGCUCUGGGCCGUAACUGACGCUGAGAAGCGAAAGCGUGGGGAGCAAACAGG